GUUAAAAUAGCUAAUAGAAGUGAUAGCUUUUUGAGCUAUUGAUGGGAUAAUAUCUCUUUUAACU
rnacentral:tRNA from 1 species